rnacentral:rRNA from 1 species
UGGGGAAUUUUCCGCAAUGGGCGAAAGCCUGACGGAGCAAUGCCGCGUGGAGGUGGAAGGCCUACGGGUCGUCAACUUCUUUUCUCGGAGAAGAAACAAUGACGGUAUCUGAGGAAUAAGCAUCGGCUAACUCUGUGCCGG